rnacentral:rRNA from 1 species
GUACACUCCUGCGGGAGGCAGCAGUGGGGAAUUUUGGACAAUGGGGGCAACCCUGAUCCAGCAAUGCCGCGUGAGUGAAGAAGGCCUUCGGGUUGUAAAGCUCUUUUGUCAGGGAAGAAACGGUAGUAGCGAAUAACUAUUACUAAUGACGGUACCUGAAGAAUAAGCACCGGCUAACUACGUGCCAGCAGCCGCGGUAAUACGUAGGGUGCAAGCGUUAAUCGGAAUUACUGGGCGUAAAGCGUGCGCAGGCGGUUGUGUAAGUCAGAUGUGAAAUCCCCGGGCUCAACCUGGGAAUUGCAUUUGAGACUGCACGGCUAGAGUGUGUCAGAGGGGGGUAGAAUUCCACGUGUAGCAGUGAAAUGCGUAGAUAUGUGGAGGAAUACCGAUGGCGAAGGCAGCCCCCUGGGAUAACACUGACGCUCAUGCACGAAAGCGUGGGGAGCAAACAGGAUUAGAAACCCUAGUAGUCCCAUGA